AACACGUACUUUAAAGCCCAGGGGACGUGGAUAACCUCGGGAAACUCUUAUUAAACCGCGAUAGGUCAAGAUUUCUGGAAUGGAUCCUGGCUUAAAUCUACAUGGCCCCUGGAUUGGACUGCGGCCGAUCAGGCUGUUGGUGAGGUAAUGGCCCACCAAACCUAUAACCGGUACGGGCUCUGAGAGGAGAAGCCCGGAGAUGGGCACUGAGACAAGGGCCCAGGCCCUAUGGGGCGCAGCAGGCGCGAAAACUCUGCAAUGGGCGAAAGCCUGACAGAGUUACUCUGAGUGAUUUCCGCUAAGGAGAUCUUUUGGCAGCUCUAAAAAUGGUGCAGAAUAAGGGGUGGGCAAGUCUGGUGUCAGCCGCCGCGGUAAUACCAGCACCCCGAGUGGUCGGGACGAUUAUUGGGCCUAAAGCAUCCGUAGCCGGUUGUGCAAGUCCUCCGUUAAAUCCAGCCGCUCAACGGAUGGGCUGCGGAGGAUACUACAGAACUAGGAGGCGGGAGAGGCAAGCGGUACUUAGUGGGUAGGGGUAAAAUCCUUUGAUCCAUUGAAGA
rnacentral:rRNA from 1 species